CACGUAGGCGGACUCUUAAGUCGGGGGUGAAAUCCUGGAGCUCAACUCCAGAACUGCCUUCGAUACUGGGAGCCUUCGAGUUCGGGAGAGGUGAGUGGAACUGCGAGUGUAGAGGUGAAAUUCGUAGAUAUUCGCAAGAACACCAGUGGCGAAGGCGGCUCACUGGCCCGAUACUGACGCUGAGGUGCGAAAGCGUGGGAGCAAACA
rnacentral:rRNA from 1 species